UUCUAGGUGGCGCCCCAACAGCUCAUCGAAAUGCACGCAGCGCGAAUUCGAAUCCACAGCGAGAUUUGAGCGCGGGAAGCUGUUAUGUGCCAGUAUGCUGGGGUAGGCUUGACAACUCAAAAUUUUCUAUUUGUACUUACGAAGCAGCAGUAUUUGACAGAAAAGAAUAAUACUUUGAUGCUCUUCUCACGCCUACAAGCGAGGACGGCGUGAUUAACAACACAGCGUAAUGCGCAACGGUGAACGCCAACGAACUGCGUGCCGCCACCAACCUGGACGAAGCAUUUUGGAUUAUGAAUGGAUACCUGAACACUGCUUGAAGGAGCAAGCUCUACAGCAUCACUUAUGCUCCUUUCCAUGGGUUGGCAAGAGGAACCGUGGCACGCAACUCUACAGGCACCUGUGGUCUUCACUACCUUCGGAGGAGAGAUGCAUUGAAUGCUCCCUAUCAUGCACUGCCAUCUCAACAGUACCAUGGCUUUUUGUGUGGAUUCCUUCCCUUUUGAAGGCCACCACUGUUUGCACAGCAUCACAGCCUGCCUGCCUUGAUCUUGCGGAAGAAAAUACAAAAUGCCUAUUUUUUGAAAUGCAUGCAUGGCUCCAUGCAACACCACCUGUCAUCGGGGUGUUAAGGCUUUUUGCAGAGAAAAUGUAAUGACGCCUUAUGUGUGCCCUGGUGGCUAAGUGUUUGCCUCUUUGCCUGUGUAAAAAUUUCACACUUAUGGAUACUGUUAAGGGUUCCUGUAUCAUAUUUUCUUUCACAUCCUAAGAAAUUUUUGUCUCAUUAUAAAACUAAAAAUUAUAGUUGAAUUGCUGCUUUGUGUGAUAUGCAAUAUUCAGCUGAAGGUGAUCAGCAGAGGUCGAACAAGUGUUAUAUCAGGUGGAGAAAUUUUUUUGAGAAGUGGACUUCUUCGAUAGGGUAACAACCGUUUUCCUUGGC